rnacentral:rRNA from 1 species
UUGGAGGGCAGUCUGGUGCCAGCAGCCGCGGUAUUCCAGCUCCAAUAGCGUAUAUUAAAGUUGUUGCAGUUAAAAAGCUCGUAGUUGAAUUUCGGGAUCAGCAGGUUGGUCUUGCCACUGGCAUGUACUAGCCUGCUGAUUCCUCCUUCUUGUAGAACCGUAAUGCCAUUAGUUUGGUGUUGCGGGGAAACAGGACUGUUACUUUGAAAAAAUUAGAGUGUUUAAAGCAGGCUAGCGCCUGAAUACAUUAGCAUGGAAUAAUGAAAUAGGACGUUCGAACCUAUUUUGUUGGUUUCUAGGAUUGACGUAAUGAUUAAUAGGGAUAGUUGGGGGCAUUAGUAUUCAAUUGUCAGAGGUGAAAUUCUUGGAUUUAUUGAAGACUAACUACUGCGAAAGCAUUUGCCAAGGAUGUUUUCAUUAAUCAAGAACGAAAGUUAGGGGAUCGAAGACGAUCAGAUACCGUCGUAGUCUUAACCAUAAACAAUGCCGACUAGGGAUCGGAUGAUGUUAAUUUUUUAAUGACUCAUUCGGCGCCUUACGGGAAAC